AUUCUGCAAAAUAACUAGCUUAAUUUACAGGGCUAGAUUCUUUGUUGUUUUUUUAAUACCUUUAUUGUGGUAUGAUUUCUGUACAGUAAACUACACAUAUUUCACAUGUACAAUUUGAUGAAUUUUGAUAGAUGUAUACACCAAUGAAACCACCACCACAAUCAAGAUUGCUAAUACUUCCAUCAUUCCCCAAGAGGUGCAAAUUUCGAAUUCCCAAUUUAUCCCUUCCAACGCUCUUCACCCCUGGAAACCAUAUAUGCCCAGGAGUGGGACUGCUGGAUCAUAUGGAGGGUCUUAAGGCUACCUGAAGGAUAAGACAUUCAGCAGAAGCCGGGAGUGAAUUUGGUUAGAGCUUCACUUGGCAGGAAUCCCUGUAAGAAGG